rnacentral:rRNA from 1 species
ACGGGGNGUUUAAGCGAGGAGGAGGCUACUUUAGUUAAUACCUAGAGAUAGUGGACGUUACUCGCAGAAUAAGCACCGGCUAACUCUGUGCCAGCAGCCGCGGUAAUACAGAGGGUGCAAGCGUUAAUCGGAUUUACUGGGCGUAAAGCGCGCGUAGGCGGCUAAUUAAGUCAAAUGUGAAAUUCCCCGAGCUUAAACUUGGGAAUUGCAUUCGAUACUGUAG